CUGUUCCCAUCCUGAUGUGUGUGUGUGUGUGUGUGACACAGGGUUUUCACCUGCCACCUAGACUUGAAUGUAGUGGUGCAAUCACAGCUCACUGCAGCCUCUGACUCCUGGGCUCAAGCUAUGCUCUCAUUUCAGCCUCCUGAGUAGCUGGGACUACAGGAAUGAGCCAUGGCACUCAGCCCACCAUUUUUUUUGUGUGUGUGUCCUCACUGCUACAGUCCCGCCAGUGCCAUCACAGUUUAGAUGCCGUGGAAACAUCAGGAAGUUCCCCUAUAUGAUCUACAAAGGAAGCCAUCAAUAAUCCACCCCUAGUUUAGAAUAUAAUCAAGAAAUAACCAGAAACAUGGGCAACCAGUAACCUUCAGGUUUUUCCAGAAGCUAUACUUCCCAGCCUUUGAGAUGACCAAUUUGCAGGCUGCAACCCAUUAUGAGAAAUACAGUUCCCCUUUCACAAUUUAUGAACCUCAUGAUUCUGCAGUUGACACAUUUCUUCCAGAAGCUCGACCAUCAAUGGCCUUGAUUUCCAUGAUUGCAAGUCCUGCCAGCUAAAGUUUCAGAAAAGUCUGGGCAAGUCUGGAAGUCCAUUGUAUCCAGUAUAUGUGGCUACGUAAGAAAUUUUCUGGAAUUACACAUUUUCUUGGAAGAACAUUAGGAGCUGGUUCUGAAGAUCAAAUUACAUCAGAAAAAAAGGUGAAACAGGGAAAUUCCAACUGAUUGCCUGGAAAAUUGCUUCAGUCUUCUAGCUCCCUUGAAGGCAACUUUGAAUUGAGCAGAUACACAAAAACAUUCUGUCUUCUGAAAUUUUAAUCUGUGCAAGAUUAUUUUACAACUACACAUAUUGAUAAUAAAGCAAUUUCUCCAAGUGGGACACAUCAGAUAAAAUGGUGUUUGUAUAUUUCUCUCACAUUACUUUUUUCUAUUUAUUGAAAGCCCAUUCUGUCACUAGAAUGAAUCUCUAUCACCCCUGUUAUUCCUUUUCUGCCAAUAUCCUUUAAAAAAAUUCACUGAUGACAUUCAGGGUGAAAUUCAUUUUAGGCUGAAUUUGAAAAAUAAAUAAAGGUGUCCAGGUGCAAAUGCAAGCCUUAAAUUGUACAUUUUUGGCAGGCAUACGUAAUUCAUAUAUAACCUAGCAUCUGUAAAUAUAAAAGUAGUGGACCUCACUCAAGUUUCCCAUAAGGGUAGAUUUGAAUAUAGAUGAAGAUAGGAAUAUAUCUCUUAUUCCAUCCUUACAUUUAUUGUUUGUAAUGGUCACCAAAAAUUAAUCUUUUAGCCUUGCUACAUAUUUUAUUAUUUGCCAGAGCAAAAGCUGAUCAAUUUUAAUCUGAUUUAAAAUGUAAUCCAAAAACCUAAUGUUUUUUAACAGAACAAUAAAAAUAUUUUUCAAUGACUUUGUGCAUUAGUGAAUGUAUCCCUGAAAAGCAUGUGUAACCUUGAAUUAAUAAGUUAUGUUUUCU
rnacentral:lncRNA from 10 species